rnacentral:sRNA from 1 species
UGUAUCGUGGGACAUAACGGUAACAGC